rnacentral:rRNA from 1 species
GAUGAACGCUGACAGAAUGCUUAACACAUGCAAGUCAUUGGCGAAGCUGCGCUUGCGCAGUCUAGCCAAGGCGGACGGGUGAGUAACGCGUAAGGAACUUGCCCUGCAGACAGGGAUAACAGACGGAAACGACUGAUAACACCUGGUAUUGUCAGGCUGGCGCAUGCCGGCCUGAUGAAAGGAGACGCUGCAGGAGAGCCUUGCGUCCUAUUAGCUAGUUGGUGGGGUAACGGCCCACCAAGGCGAUGAUAGGUAGCCGGCCUGAGAGGGUGAACGGCCACAAGGGGACUGAGAUACGGCCCUUACUCCUACGGGAGGCAGCAGUGGGGAAUAUUGGACAAUGGGGGCAACCCUGAUCCAGCAAUUCUGUGUGCACGAAGAAGGUUUUCAGAUUGUAAAGUGCUUUCAGCAGGGAAGAAGAAAGUGACGGUACCUGCAGAAGAAGCGACGGCUAAAUACGU